GAUACUUGUGAUGAAUCAGCUGAAUAAUUUAAAAGUAGUGGCCUGAUGACCAUUGAUGAAAAACAUUUUUCCGAGGGAUU